rnacentral:rRNA from 1 species
UACCUACGGGGCGCAGCAGUGGGGGAUAUUGCACAAUGGGGGGAACCCUGAUGCAGCGACGCCGCGUGGGUGAAGAAGCGCCUCGGCGCGUAAAGCCCUUUCCGCAGGGAAGAAAAUGACGGUACCUGAGGAGGAAGCCACGGCUAACUACGUACCAGCAGCCGCGGUAAUACGUAGGUGGCGAGCGUUGUCCGGAUUUACUGGGCGUAAAGGGAGCGUAGGCGGAUUUUUAAGUGAGAUGUGAAAUACUCGGGCUCAACUUGAGGGCUGCAUUUCAACCUGGAAGUCUAGAGUGAAGGAGAGGG